UUNUGUGCCGGAGUUAACGCAAUAAGUACCCCGCCUGGGGAGUACGACCGCAAGGUUGAAACUCAAAGGAAUUGACGGGGGCCCGCACAAGCGGUGGAGUAUGUGGUUUAAUUCGACGCAACGCGAAGAACCUUACCAGGUCUUGACAUUGAUGGACAGAACCAGAGAUGGUUCNUCUUCUUCGGAAGCCAGAAAACAGGUGGUGCACGGUUGUCGUCAGCUCGUGUCGUGAGAUGUUGGGUUAAGUCCCGCAACGAGCGCAACCCCUAUCUUAUGUUGCCAGCACUUUGGGUGGGGACUCAUGAGAGACUGCCGCAGACAAUGCGGAGGAAGGCGGGGAUGACGUCAAAUCAUCAUGCCCCUUAUGACCUGGGCUACACACGUACUACAAUGGGAGUUAAUAGACGGAAGCGAGAUCGCGAGAUGGAGCAAACCCGAGAAACACUCUCUCAGUUCGGAUCGUAGGCUGCAACUCGCCUACGUGAAGUCGGAAUCGCUAGUAAUCGCAGGUCAGCAUACUGCGGUGAAUACGUUCCCGGGCCUUGUACACANCGCCCGUCACACCACGAAAGUCGGAAGUGCCCA
rnacentral:rRNA from 1 species